ACCCUAUUAUAUUUAAACAAAUUUAGGUAAUAAUAAAUUAUAAUUAAACCUAUUUAUUUUGGCGGCAAUUUACCUUAUCAAAGGAACUUGUUUUUUAAUCGACAAACCACGUUUAAUUUCACUUAAAUUAAUAAUUUAUAUACCGCCAUCUUAAGAAUCAAUUUAAAUAAAUCAUUC
rnacentral:rRNA from 1 species